rnacentral:rRNA from 1 species
GACGAACGCUGGCGGCGUGCCUAAUACAUGCAAGUCGAACGAGAGCAACCGGUGCUUGCACUGGUCAAUCUAGUGGCGAACGGGUGAGUAACACGUGGGUAACCUGCCCAUCAGAGGGGGAUAACAUCCGGAAACGGAUGCUAAAACCGCAUAGGUCUUCGAACCGCAUGGUUUGAAGAGGAAAAGAGGCGCAAGCUUCUGCUGAUGGAUGGACCCGCGGUGCAUUAGCUAGUUGGUGAGGUAACGGCUCACCAAGGCCGUGAUGCAUAGCCGACCUGAGAGGGUGAUCGGCCACAUUGGGACUGAGACACGGCCCAAACUCCUACGGGAGGCAGCAGUAGGGAAUCUUCCGCAAAGGACGCAAGUCUGACGGAGCAACGCCGCGUGAGUGAAGAAGGUUUUCGGAUCGUAAAACUCUGUUGUUAGAGAAGAUCAAGUGCUAGAGUAACUGUUAGCGCCUUGACGGUAUCUAACCAGAAAGCCACGGCUAACUACGUG